GAUGAAGAACGUAGCGAAAUGCGAUAAGUAAUGUGAAUUGCAGAAUUCAGUGAAUCAUCGAAUCUUUGAACGCACAUUGCGCCCGCCGGUAUUCCGGCGGGCAUGCCUGUUCGAGCGUCAUUACAACCCUCAGGCCCCCGGGCCUGGCGUUGGGGAUCGGCGGAGCCCCCCGUGGGCACACGCCGUCCCCCAAAUACAGUGGCGGUCCCGCCGCAGCUUCCAUCGCGUAGUAGCUAACACCUCGCGACUGGAGAGCGGCGCGGCCACGCCGUAAAACACCCAACUCUUCUGAAGUUGACCUCGAAUCAGGUAGGAAUACCCGCUGAACUUAAGCAUAUCAAUAAGCGGAGGA
rnacentral:misc_RNA from 1 species